UAUCGAAAUUUUGACUUGGACGGCUGAAGGCAAAGGCCUUGUAUCGCCACCUCACCCAACGAAAAUUAACUAUCCUAGCACGGGUGUUGCGAAGCGAUGCCGGGAGAAAGCACCAAGGAUGUCCAAUGCUAUCGUGUUGCCGAGUAGCACUGUUUCUUCUUUCAUGCAAGUAGUGUCAUGUACAGGCUGCCAGCAGUUUGCACCAUUGCCGGACAACACCUAACUAACAUGGUUAUCUCUCGAACAGCAUGAAGAGCUACUUGAGAUAGUACCACGUGAACCGGAGAUACCACUUUUCAGAAAUGACAAGUUUGGACAUCAAUGCCCAGAGUUGCGCGAUGCUCACAUAGGUGCACAGCUACAGCAAGAAGUAACUGCAGUUCAAGGCAUCUUGCACCAGCAUGUGGACCUCUUUGCCACUGAUAACAAUGAUCUGGGCUUUUAUGAAGGGAUUGAACACUGUUGACCUUAUGCCUGAGGCAUUACCAUAUGCCCGUCAACCUUACAGAUAGAGCAAAGAGGACCGCGACUUUACUGAGCACCAGUGUGAAGAACUGCUUGCGAAAUGUAUCAUUGUGCCAUUCUCAAGCCCACAAGAAGAUCCAUGCAUUCCUUUUAUAUUUAUUUAUUUAUUCCUCAAAUGGCCCUGGAGAGGGAUCUUACAUGAGGGGUGGGCAGCUUCAAAGAUGCGCAAAUAGUAGUAGUAAAAUAUAGCAUGAAUAGCAAGAUCUCGCAUUACGGCGAGCACUACAUUCCGAAGUAUUUCCUCCCAUGCUGUGGGAUUUUGGUAGGAGUCAGCAGUUGCCACUUCGCACAGCAAACACAAAUCUUCGUCAAUUCAGAACCGCUUUCGGGGCCUGUGCUGCGCUGCAGAAGCCGAACAGGAGCCAGCGGAGAGCAUGUUCAUACUGUAGGGAGCCAUCUUGCAUAUGAAAGUGCUGCUAAUGUUGAUGUGGCUUCACCCUUCAGAACGGGCCGAUGCUAGUGUACUGCGCCCUAGCCGUGAUAGCGGAAAACAUAAGCGACACCCCACACUUCGCUUAGGCAGCUUAUAAAGGCAUGUUCACACCGAAGGCCAAAGCGGGAAGGCGGGUGUGCGAAAAGAGCGAAAACCUCCUCGCCGAGCGUGCAUAGCAGGCAGAAAACAAAAUGGACAGCCCGAUCACUUUCGGACCGAUCUUUUUCCACCCCACCAGAGCUUUCGGCUUUCCUGCAGCCAAUCAGGGCUGGAGGAGGAAAACCGGUUCAAAAUUGCAUCCACUGAGACAGCUGGAUUUUGCGCUGCACUUUUCAUCGACACAACCAAAUGUUACCCGAUGCUGUAUGACAAGAGACACAACAGGUACAAGAUACAUUGAAUACAAGAAUCAGCUGUGGAAGAAAAUACGGCAAGAUCUGGGUGUGACUGGUAAGUACACAGGGCAGCUUCUCUCUCUACAUGUUUUUUUUUUUUUCUCUAAACCUGUACACGCAGACUUCCAUCCUUGUAUGACACAAUAUGGCCAUGAUCUCCAUAGAUGCAUGUAACCAUGUGCAUCGAGGCCACAUUAAAACCGGACUUUGUAACAUUACUGGAACUUCGACUGUCGACACAGAUGUAAACUGCGCAGUAUUUGUGCACAAGCCCUUGUGCGCAUUAGUACACACACAUUAUCGACGUUUACAUGCUUGCGAAGAUGAGCUGCAGCCCAGAAGUAGAGUCUUAAAACGAACAAUCUAGCGGCACACAUGCACAGGCAAGCGUGCAAAUGCAGAUGCACAAAUGCCAUUGGCUUACUUCAGCCUAAAUACGGCUCAACUGUUCGCGUUUUUUUUUUUCUUAAAAUUUUGUUGGGUUAGGUUAGGGACUCGCUAAGCAAAGAUUACACUCCUGUGCAGGAGCGAAGCCAGAAUUCUAUUUCGAAAAGAGGCUGGGGAGGGCAGUGGGUUCAACGGCCCCGAUAUGUGUGUGCAUGCAGCAUGCGUACCAUAUUUACACGAUUGUGCAUCGAGCUGUUUUUUUUUUUUUUCAUUUGAGAAUCUGAAGUGGCGGGGUCGACUUACAAUCAAACCCAAAACAUUGUUCCACCAAAAAAGCGAGACCAACGAGAUAUCGGGGGAUCUACAACGUAGUUACAAUUUUGUUUGCUCUAUGGCCUUACCAGUAGUUUUUGCUAUCUCACGCGUGCGUUUGUUCGCUUUUCAGAAGGGUUUUUCAACAUAUUUUAGUUUUACAGUGCACAAAACACUCACGGGGGUGGGGGUGUAGAUAGAUAAUGGAAGUACCGCUGUUCCAUUCGCGGCGGCACACCCAGAACAGCGGCACUUGCAGGGAGUAUCGAUAGUUCAUGGAAGAGCAGACACCACUCACAUGUUUCUCUUUCCCUGCAGCUCUUAGUUUGAUGCUUCAACUCGACUGCCAGCUACAUGCUACUUCUAUGCUUCCUCAGUUACCACGAGUGCUCCAGGCCCACUAAACAUUCCAUGCUCGUUCACAGCAGCGUUCAAGAGGGCUGCCAUCUUUUACGCCGAAGAAACAAAUCACUGCGCAGCGGGCUGCAAGUUCGAUGUUUCUGGAUGUGUGGUGCGAGAGUGGUGACUGCAGCGAAGCAAAAUUUUCACCUGUGACGGCAAGCGAAGAAUUUCCCACGGGCCGAAGUCGGGACACUUUCCAGAGCUGUAGGCCAAGCUUGCGGCGUAUGUCGCUGAAAUGCUGGACCGGUCCCUGCCAGUGAAGUGCGACAUGGUCAUGAAACAAGCCCGGAUCUUCGCCUUUUAAGGACCUGCUCCACCGUGAGUACAACGAGUGGCUGGUGGCAGAAGACUGCGAACUUGCACCAACCCGACCUGUCAAAAGAGCCUCCCUGAUGACUGCAUGUGGUUGGGAGAAUUUGGCGUGGGCUGCUGUUCCACAAGAUGUCGUAGUGCGGUCGUUUGCCAAAUGUGGAAUUUCACUGGACAACGACGCGCUGUGGGACCGUAACAGCAAUGACGAUGGCACAAACGAAGACGAGUAGUCCAGUGACCAUGCUAGCUACUGAUAAAUUUUCGUUGUGGAAUGCGCCUCGGGUAUGCUCUUUUUUUUCUUCUUUUUUCUUGUCACAUGUGAUAUGUGGAGGUCGACUUACAUUCGAGUCGACUUACUAUCAUGUAAAUGCGGUACCUACAACACGAAAACAUUUUGAGGAGGCACUGACCAGCCCCAUUAGCUAUGCCAAUGCUGCAAUAGACUGGUAGAAAUGCUGCUCGAAACGCGAUAGGGAAGUAUUUUGUUUUAGUAUACAGAUGCACAGGUACUAUUCCACUCCGUAUUGUAGCAAUUUCUUUUUUCCACACAGUUGCAACCUGCCAAAAAAUUCCGAUAUCUCAAAGAUCAUUUCACCAAACUGAAGCAAGACAUCAAACGGAAGACCAGAAGUGGGGCUGGAAUAAAUGAUAUCACCACAAUUAUGUGGAAACACUUCGAAGCUGUGCUUCCAAUUACGGAAAAAAAUUCGCAGUUCCACCAGAAAGGCGAAGCACUGAUGGCGAUAGCAAAUUGGUAGAUAGCUGUACAAAGUAAGGAUAGUAGUUUUAUUGGCUGUAUAAAUUUGUAAGCAUUUGCUUACUAACUAAAUUAACAAUAGAAUGUGUAAGUUUGACUCAACGAGGACAUAGAAAGAAAGAGACACGCGAAGACAGUGCUGUCUUUGUGUGUCUGCUUCUUUAGACGUCCUUGUUCCGCCGCACUUACACAUUCUAUCAUGAAUUGAAACCAACUAGCCCAUCAAUGUGUUUUAACUAACUUAAUCAGCACGGUGUCAUGCGCGCACAGGUAAACAUGAACACACAUCGCUCGAUGACAGCAGAAACUGUCUGUGAAAGCGCUGGAGUUAGGAAUCGCCAAUUGACCUCCGUGUAUCUUUAAUUAAAUUAAAUUAUGGGGUUUUACGUGCCAAAACCACUUUCUGAUCAUGAGGCACGCCGUAGUGGAGGACUCCGGAAAUUUCGACCACCUGGGGUUCUUUAGCGUGCACCUAAAUCUAAGCACACGGGUGUUUUUGCAUUUUGCCCCCAUCAAAAUGCGACCGCCGUGGCCGGAAUUCGAUUCCGCGACUUGUGUUCAGCAGCCCAACACCAUAGCCACUGAGCAACUACGGCGGGUAUCCGUGCAUCUGUUGCUUCAACAUGUACGAAACAUUGAAAGCACAGCAUAUACGAAGCUACUGGCAAUAUGCGCACUCUGCAAACAUCACAGAUCACUUUGAAGACGAGGCCUGCACGGGCACGCAUACCCCGGAUCAGCUGAUGGGAACAGUGCAAUGUGGCCUGCGUCAGCAUCUGCUUCGCUUUCAGACAAGCUUUCUUCACUCGCAUCAGUAGAACCUAGUUCACUGUCCAAGGCGGCAGACAAAGCACCAACUGAUGAACGUUUUUUUAGCCUAUAUUUUGAGCAGAUGGGAACAUCGAUAGACGGGUCCCAUAAGUACUUUCCGAAUUCUUUUUGGCGGCAUUAUUUGCACAUGGCACAGGCACAGCACCUACAGGACUUUCACGAUUACUUUACGACAAAAUACAGGGUGCAAUACAGAGUAAAACAUAGCAACGGCGAAAGCACAGCAGUACAGCAGAGUGGUCAUACAAUCACCAAGCGUGCACCCGCUGGCUAGAAUACCUAAAGUAUUGCCAGCCGGCCAGCUUCCUCGAUGCUCAACGACUCAACAGUGAAACGUUAGAUCAGCGCAUCGAAGAGGUAAGUCUGGAAAACGCAUUUUACAGCAUUAGGGAACAGCGUGCCACUCACAGGGCUGCAAACAUUCAUUAAAGUUUUGUUUCAGGUGUUUGUCAUGAGUUGUCUUUAUAUAAUUUUACGCCAAACAUAGCCAUGUCUAAAAAGUGAGUAGGAAACACUGAUACCAUCUCUUUCGUUUGCAUUUUUCUGUCGACAUUUUGUGCAUAUUUUUGUUAAUCCUCUCUGGGCCUCUGCACGUGUGCUUGUUUGCUCGGACAGCUGGAGCAUAAGAUGCCUCACUUCCUUGUAAAGUGAGUUGACGAUAACAAGUGGGACGUGUAUUCCGAGGAUGCUUUGGCCGACGUGGAUGUGGCCUUCCAUCUGAUGUCGCAGCAGGGAUCAAUUAAACAGUUACGGGGAAGUAUUCAAAGCAUCAGUUGGAAAGGAGUGCCACCGGCUCCGGCAGUACUUCUUGCCUUCGAGGCUGCCACAUUAGUCAAAAGACUUAAAAGAGUACUUGGAAAAGUGGAAAACCAAGCCGAGCAGACAGCUGGAGACGUUGUUGCUUGCCCAAAGGUGGACAUUGGGAGCGGUGUGAGUGUUGAACAAGGCACCCUAGAGAAGCUAUGCCGAGCUUGCGGAAGUGGCCCCCGGAAAUUUGCCAGGGCUCCUUUGAGGAAUGUAUUCACCCCAGAGGAACUGCAAGGCAAACCACUCCUGGAUGAAAAGAGCACCUUGCACUUAAACCAGCCACUCAAUAGGCCUUGGAGCCUAUUCGUGUCCAAGCUGUGAUUGGAGCCGGAUGGAGGAGUGGCCCUGUACCAACCAGGCCCACUCCUCCAACUGCGGAGGCAAACACCCUGCCAAUACUACUUGCCCCAGAUGCCAGGAGGAACACAGGGUAGCCACCAUCCUGGCAGCUUCCUCUAUCCCACUGUCCACGAUAGAGAGCCCUCCUAUGCAGUCCUACAUGAGUGUGGUCAAGGGUACCCCAGCUCUUCCUAGGCACCCUGUACCAGCCCCUCCAGCAUCCCUUCGUCAAGUGCCCCAAGUCUCUGCUGCCUCUGGGACCACACCGCCUGCAGCUCCCCUGGCACAGUCUACCAUAAACCAACUAAUGGCAAAGCUGCUGCUGACCACGCAGGCAGUCAGCAGCAUGCUUCCUGCUGACCACCCGCUACGAGCCGUGUGUCUGCAGGCAGUGGCAGUCCAGAGCCAAGCCACCAACCAUGACUGAUCCCUCUGCCCCAAGGAAGGGUCGCCGCCGCCCAAGUGUUCUCCAGUGGAAUACCAACUCACUGUGGCUGCGGCGGGCAGACCUCUCCCUGCAUCUCCUGCAGAGUGACUAUGAUGUGCUUGCUCUA